GUGGGGAAUUUUGGACAAUGGGCGAAAGCCUGAUCCAGCAAUGCCGCGUGCAGGAUGAAGGCCUUCGGGUUGUAAACUGCUUUUGUACGGAACGAAAAGCUUUGGGUUAAUACCCUGGAGUCAUGACGGUACCGUAAGAAUAAGCACCGGCUAACUACGUGCCAGCAGCCGCGGUAAUACGUAGGGUGCAAGCGUUAAUCGGAAUUACUGGGCGUAAAGCGUGCGCAGGCGGUUUUGUAAGACAGAGGUGAAAUCCCCGGGCUCAACCUGGGAACUGCCUUUGUGACUGCAAGGCUAGAGUACGGCAGAGGGGGGUGGAAUUCCGCGUGUAGCAGUGAAAUGCGUAGAUAUGCGGAGGAACACCGAUGGCGAAGGCAACCCCCUGGGCCUGUACUGACGCUCAUGCACGAAAGCGUGGGGAGCAAACAGG
rnacentral:rRNA from 1 species